rnacentral:rRNA from 1 species
GAUGAACGCUGGCGGCGUGCCUAAUACAUGCAAGUCGAGCGAAUGGAUUAAGAGCUUGCUCUUAUGAAGUUAGCGGCGGACGGGUGAGUAACACGUGGGUAACCUGCCCAUAAGACUGGGAUAACUCCGGGAAACCGGGGCUAAUACCGGAUAACAUUUUGAACCGCAUGGUUUGAAAUUGAAAGGCGGCUUCGGCUGUCACUUAUGGAUGGACCCGCGUCGCAUUAGCUAGUUGGUGAGGUAACGGCUCACCAAGGCAACGAUGCGUAGCCGACCUGAGAGGGUGAUCGGCCACACUGGGACUGAGACACGGCCCAGACUCCUACGGGAGGCAGCAGUAGGGAAUCUUCCGCAAUGGACGAAAGUCUGACGGAGCAACGCCGCGUGAGUGAUGAAGGCUUUCGGGUCGUAAAACUCUGUUGUUAGGGAAGAACAAGUGCUAGUUGACUAAGCUGGCACCUUGACGGUACCUAACCAGAAAGCCACGGCUAACUACAUGCCAGCCGCCGCUGUAA